ensembl:snRNA U1 U1 spliceosomal RNA
UGACUUAAUUGGCAGGUGAGACACCAUCUCCAGGAAGGUGAUUUCCCAAGAGUGAUGCUCAGCUCCUACAUUCUGAGUGUGCUGACUUCUCUGGUUUCAAAUGCAGGAAAUUCAGCUGUGUAAUUUGUUUUGAAGGGGAACUGUGUUCAUGCUCUCUCAUA